UACGGAGGGUGCAAGCGUUAUCCGGAUUCACUGGGUUUAAAGGGUGCGUAGGUGGGUUGGUAAGUCCGUGGUGAAAUCUCCGAGCUUAACUCGGAAACUGCCGUGGAUACUAUCAAUCUUGAAUACUGUGGAGGUAAGCGGAAUAUGUCAUGUAGCGGUGAAAUGCUUAGAUAUGACAUAGAACACCGAUAGCGGAGGCAGCUUGCUGGACAGUCAUUGACACUGAGGCACGAAAGCGUGGGGAGCAAACAGG
rnacentral:rRNA from 1 species